CUCGGAGGCCAGACGCGGGUGGCAGUAGGGGAGGCGAUGGUGGCGCGCACCAUCCCAACCUCCAGCACGCCCUAGCGGCCCACCCGGGCCUGAGCGCCUAGCGCACGGCGGGCAGCAUGCGGUGGGCCGGUCGCCGCGGGCCGCAGGUCCCGGCACAGGCGAGGGGUGGGCUGGUAGAGGUGCACCCUGGCGCGUGGCCAGGCUCGGCGUGAGCGGGUGAUGGGCUGACGCGCAGGACCCGUGUCGGGGUGGCGGCGGCAGCAGCAGCGGGGGCGGGGGCGCGCCAGCACCGGCGGGGCGGCUGUGGGCGCCGGGAAGGAGGAGGAGGAGGAGGAGAGGAGGCGGCGCUGCUCCGAGGCCGCCUGGUAGGCCACGGGCCUGCGCCUGGGACGAAUGGGACAGCCGUUUCGGGGGACCAGCCGCUUGCAACCUGAAGUUCCUCGGCUCCUUUGCAAGCUCAGAAAAUAAAAGAUGACGGAGGGCCGUCGAUGUCAAGUCCAUCUUCUUGAUGACAGGAAACUGGAACUCCUGGUGCAGCCCAAGCUUUUGGCCAAGGAGCUUCUUGACCUUGUGGCCUCUCACUUCAAUCUGAAAGAAAAGGAAUACUUCGGAAUAGCAUUCACUGACGAGACGGGACACUUGAAUUGGCUCCAGCUAGAUCGGAGAGUGUUGGAACAUGACUUCCCUAAAAAGUCAGGACCCGUGGUCUUGUACUUCUGCGUCAGGUUCUACAUAGAGAGCAUCUCCUACCUGAAGGACAAUGCCACCAUUGAGCUCUUCUUUCUGAAUGCCAAGUCCUGUAUCUACAAGGAGCUUAUUGAUGUCGACAGUGAAGUGGUGUUUGAAUUAGCUUCCUAUAUUUUGCAGGAGGCAAAGGGAGAUUUUUCCAGCAAUGAAGUCGUGAGGAGUGACUUGAAGAAGCUGCCAGCCCUUCCCACCCAAGCCCUGAAAGAGCACCCUUCCCUGGCCUACUGUGAAGACAGAGUCAUUGAGCACUACAAGAAGUUGAACGGCCAGACGAGAGGGCAGGCGAUUGUGAAUUACAUGAGCAUCGUGGAGUCUCUCCCAACCUACGGGGUCCAUUAUUAUGCAGUGAAGGACAAGCAAGGGAUACCGUGGUGGCUGGGCCUGAGCUAUAAAGGAAUCUUCCAGUAUGACUACCACGAUAAAGUGAAGCCAAGAAAGAUCUUCCAAUGGAGGCAGUUGGAAAACCUGUAUUUCCGAGAGAAGAAGUUCUCAGUGGAAGUUCAUGACCCACGCAGGGCUUCGGUGACAAGGAGGACAUUCGGGCACAGCGGCAUUGCCGUGCACACGUGGUAUGCCUGUCCAGCGCUGAUCAAGUCCAUCUGGGCUAUGGCCAUUAGCCAACACCAGUUCUACCUGGACAGGAAGCAGAGUAAGUCCAAAAUCCAUGCAGCACGAAGCCUGAGUGAGAUCGCCAUCGACCUGACUGAGACCGGCACACUGAAGACCUCGAAGCUGGCCAACAUGGGGAGCAAAGGGAAGAUCAUCAGCGGCAGCAGUGGGAGCCUGCUGUCCUCAGGUUCUCAGGAGUCAGACAGCUCACAGUCGGCCAAGAAAGACAUGCUAGCUGCCUUGAAAUCCAGGCAGGAAGCUCUGGAGGAGACCCUGCGCCAGCGGCUGGAGGAGCUUAAGAAGCUGUGUCUACGCGAAGCCGAGCUCACGGGGAAGCUGCCAGUUGAAUACCCCCUGGACCCUGGGGAGGAGCCCCCCGUCGUCCGGCGACGAAUAGGAACUGCCUUCAAGUUGGAUGAGCAGAAGAUCCUGCCCAAGGGAGAGGAAGCAGAGCUGGAACGCCUGGAACGUGAGUUUGCCAUUCAGUCCCAGAUUACUGAGGCUGCCCGCCGCCUCGCUAGUGAUCCCAACGUCAGCAAGAAGUUGAAGAAACAGAGGAAAACCUCGUACUUGAACGCACUGAAGAAGCUGCAGGAGAUUGAAAAUGCCAUCAAUGAGAACCGCAUCAAGUCGGGCAAGAAACCCACGCAGAGGGCUUCACUCAUCAUAGACGAUGGAAACAUUGCCAGCGAAGACAGCUCGCUCUCCGAUGCCCUUGUUCUGGAGGACGAAGAUUCUCAGGUUACCAGCGCAAUAUCCCCUCUGCAGUCCCCUCACAAGGGACUGCCUCCUCGGCCACCAUCGCACAACAGGCCUCCACCUCCCCAGUCUCUGGAGGGACUCAGGCAGAUGCACUACCACCGCAAUGACUAUGACAAGUCACCCAUAAAGCCCAAGAUGUGGAGCGAGUCCUCUCUGGAUGAGCCUUAUGAGAAAGUGAAGAAACGCUCUUCUCACAGCCAUUCCAGUAGCCACAAGCGCUUCCCCAGCACAGGGAGCUGUGCUGAAGCGGGGGGCGGGAGCAGCUCCUUGCAGAACAGCCCUAUCCGUGGCCUGCCUCACUGGAACUCCCAAUCCAGCAUGCCAUCCACGCCAGACCUGCGGGUCCGGAGCCCCCACUACGUCCAUUCCGCCAGGUCGGUGGACAUCAGCCCCACGCGACUGCACAGCCUCGCCCUGCACUUUAGGCACCGGAGCUCCAGCUUGGAGUCCCAGGGCAAGCUCCUGGGCUCGGAGAAUGACACGGGAAGCCCCGACUUCUACACCCCGCGGACUCGUAGCAGCAACGGCUCGGAUCCCAUGGACGACUGCUCGUCCUGCACCAGCCACUCGAGCUCGGAGCACUACUACCCAGCACAGAUGAACGCCAACUAUUCCACGCUGGCUGAGGACUCGCCGUCCAAGGCGCGCCAGCGGCAAAGGCAGCGGCGACGGGCGGCGGGCUCGCUGGGCGCCGCGGGCUCCGGCAGUCUCCCCAACCUGGCGGCGCGGGGUGGUGCGGGCGGCGCCGGCGGUGCGGGCGGCACGGGCGGGGUCUACCUGCACAGCCAGAGCCAACCCAGCUCGCAGUACCGCAUCAAGGAGUACCCACUGUACAUCGAGGGCAGUGCCACGCCCGUGGUGGUGCGCAGCCUGGAGAGCGACCAGGAGGGCCACUACAGCGUCAAGGCACAGUUCAAGACGUCCAACUCCUAUACAGCUGGGGGCCUCUUUAAGGAGAGCUGGCGCGGUGGCGACGAGGGCGACGCGGGCCGCCUGACGCCAUCGCGCUCGCAGAUCCUGCGGACUCCGUCGCUGGGCCGCGAGGGUGCCCACGACAAGGGCCGCUCUGCUGUGUCGGACGAGCUGCGCCAAUGGUACCAGCGCUGCAGCGCCUCGCACAAGGAGCACAGCCGCCUGUCGCACACCAGCUCCACCUCCUCAGACAGUGGCUCGCAGUACAGCACCUCAUCCCAGAGCACCUUCGUGGCGCACAGCAGGGUCACCAGGAUGCCUCAGAUGUGCAAGGCCACUUCAGCUGCCUUACCUCAAAGCCAGAGAAGCUCAACACCGUCGAGUGAAAUUGGAGCCACCCCACCAAGCAGUCCCCACCACAUCCUAACUUGGCAGACUGGAGAAGCAACAGCAAACUCACCCAUCAUGGAUGGGUCUGGGUCUCCAACUCACCAAAGUACUGAUGAAUAGAGGUAUCGUAAAGGAAUGUCGUGUCCUUCUGCCAUGAGUGCGUGAUCCCAGGAGCUACGACAGCUGUUUCCUGGAUUCCUCCCUGUAUCCAGAAUUAGCUGACGUCCAGUGGUACGGGCAGGAAAAAGCCAAGCCCGGGACCCUCGUGUGAGCCAACCCGGCCUGCUCUGACCACCUCGACACCAUUUGGAGUCACCUCACUGCCUCUCAUUUGCCUUACCCAGACGCACUGUCACCUGCACCAGCUUCGGCCCUCAGCACUUUUUUUCUCCCAUCUCCGCAUUCCCUUCACCCUCCAAAACCUGACUGAGGAGACAUUCUGGAAGGUUCCGGUCCCACUGUGUGUCUCCUGGCUCUCUUGGCCACAGAGAGCCAGACAGCAAUCUUCAAUGGCACCUCAGUGGCUUCCCUCUGCCAUGGCAGUUCCCAGGCCAAGGACUGUCAGGGAAGCCAGCUUUCAUCAAAUUCCUGCAGACAAGUGGCACUGACAGAGAACAGGGCAGGGGCCUCAAGUACUGGGUGAUCCAAAAGGACAAUGAAGCUGUGUCCAGGCUGCUCCACCAAGGCCAGCCAAGUAUGUCAUGAAGAGGACGCCUGGGAGGGAUGUUCGGUCUACACCUGAAAUAACCCUUUCUUCACAAGGCAGCACUUAAGGGAGUGGCUGUGACGGGCUGGGAGGGGACUUAGAAAGAAAAGACGUUCAGACACACAGAGGAGGACCACAAUCAGUUCUGUGCUGCCAAAGAUGAAACAAACUACAAAAAUACACAAAAAACAGGAGAGGGGCCAAGAAGACAUUCUUUCUGCAGCAAAACUUCAUUUAAAUUCUAAACUGUGACUACACCCUACAAGUCAAGGUCACAAGGUUGUAAAUGGCGUCCUCUGCUCAUGCCUCUCUCCUGUCUUGGGGCCACAUCCCCCUUCGCAGACAGCCUAGAAGGUACCCCAAAGUGCAAGGCAAGGAUGAGGAAGCACUGGCUGGCACUGCUGCCCCCAGAGCCUGCAGCAGCCUGGACAGGAAGGAAGCCGGGAGCAGAGUGUGCUGGAAACCCUAGUCCGUGCAGGGGGUUGAGCCCCAGACCGCCCACAAAGCUGCUUUCCUCUUGGGAUUUGUAGUAAACAUAAGGUGAUAAUUGCCAAAAGUGGUUCUCUCUCAUUAAACCAACCAGUAAAUGUGUAUCCUGUGUUUUUGCACAAGGCAUUUCAUUUUUUUUUAAAUGGGAAACCAAGGGAAAAAGCACAUUACCAUCCAUCCAAGUGUUUUAACCGUUGUGGCUCGUUUUAAUGUUUGUUACCACUUGUGUGACAAAGAGCUCAGAUGCGACUUCUCCUAUGUGUCACUUAUUCAAAGGACCCAACUAUGCCCUUAGGUGGCAAGAUUUUACUCAUGUGUCUACUAGCCAGCAGGCAGAGCAGGGUUGAAAAACAUAUCAGCUCCCGAAGGGCCCGUCUACCUACAACAUGAUCGCUCACCUUGCUGCACCAUGUUGGUCCUCAGACACCCAAAGAGGAAAAAAGGAGGAACAAAAGCACCAUGUGGGAGCUGUUUGUUUACAUGUGUUUUGAGCUAUGCUUGAUACACACCUGGAAAGCCAUCAAUCUUCAAAGGCCUCAAGAAACACUUUUCUAAUAACUAACAAGUGCACAAUCUUAGUUGGGUUACUCAAGAUGGCACAAGAAGGUCUCCGCAGAGGUGGUGUGCUGUGCUUGUUGGCGCAAGUCGGGGGGUGGGAGGGGACUUUGUUCUCCCUUGUGAUGAUUUCCUAUUGGAAAGGCAUUUCACAGCCAGGGACAGGAGCCAGGGUGGGGGUCGUUUUGUGGGAAGGCAAAACUGAAGUUAGCUUUAGCAUAAAAAGAAAAAAAAAUCUUUGUUUUUCAUGUCUGUGUAAUCCAAGAAUAACAAUAGACUCUACCAGACCAGGAGGGUAAGAUUGGACACUUAAAUAACAUCCUUAACCCCAGUGCUCCCUCUGGUGUGGCCUGGCAGGCUAUGCAAGGAGCUGAGCUGGAGAUGCUGUGUGGAGAGGAGGCUGGCCACAGCUGCCACCACUGGGGCUCAAGGGGAUAAGCUGAGGUCUGCUUUCACAGAUCCUGUGCCAAGACUGGAUUGGGAUUCCGGACUGCUGAAGGCAUUAAUAGUCCUAGAACAGUGAACCUGCAGAUUAUUUUACUAAAGAAACAAUUCUAGGGCAUGAUUGGGGAGCGGUGGUUAUUUUUGUUGAGCUACAAAUAACACAGUUUUUAAAUUUUCCUUUCCUGGUUUGGAACCAUGGUUCAUUGGACCAUUUUCCAUUCUUCUAAAUGAUCAAUGCUCAGACUGAUCAUUGGAAAAGUCAAAAGGGAACUAGAGACAGUGGCGAGGCUGCAUGAAUACAGGUUAACACAACAUGUAUUACCAUAUGUAGUCAACUUGAUCGAGCUUUAAAUUUAGCUGAGUUACAAGGAAUGGGAGGCUGACAUUCUUUCUAAGAACUUGGGUUAGAUUUGGGGAGGCAGACAGGUAUGGAAGUGGAAGCAGGAAUUACAGUUCCAGCAAACAUCAUGAUAGUCUGGUAGUAAAGACAGAGAUUAAGUAAAACAGGUUUUACUGUUUAGCUGUGUUCAAUUAAUACAAAAAUGUACAUAAAGUGUUAGUCCUUACAGACUGACACAAUCGAUGAUCAAUGUGGUGAGAAAUGUAGUAAUUGUAUACAAGCACUUGAAAACUCUUUAUAUAGCCCUAUUUGUUUAAAAAACAAAAUACAAUGAAGUAUAAAGCUCCUGGUCUGAUAUAAAGUCCCUAUUGGAUUCUUUGGAUGCGUGUAAGAAAUGACCUGUGUACACCAGGAGACUGGUGAAAACCCAUACAGACUAUGUUGUGAGCCAGGUUGACUUUAUUAUUAUAUUCAGGUGAGUGUUGAAACUGUUAAAAUUUCAGUUUGUUUUCACUCGAUAUUAGUUUAGUUCUAACUAUAGCAAACCCCAUCCAGGUGCUAUCAGAUGACCAAUUACUGCUUAGUUAACUAGGUGUAAAGUUUUACAUAUGUUAAUGUCAAUAGUUUAUUACAAGUUGUGUAAAAUGGACUCUAGUUUAAUAAUGGGGGAAAAAGGUUUAGGUUGCUCCUGAAACUGACUGUAGAGCAUGUAAAAUGACUUUACUGGAUUCUGUUCAACUGUAAUCAAAAGAUGGAUGUUGUAGACAAAGUUGCAGAAUUAAAAAAAAAAAAGAAA